rnacentral:rRNA from 1 species
AGUGAACGCUGGCGGUAUGCCUAACACAUGCAAGUCGAACGGCAGCACAGUAAGAGCUUGCUCUUACGGGUGGCGAGUGGCGGACGGGUGAGGAAUACAUCGGAAUCUACUUUUUCGUGGGGGAUAACGUAGGGAAACUUACGCUAAUACCGCAUACGACCUACGGGUGAAAGCAGGGGAUCUUCGGACCUUGCGCGAUUGAAUGAGCCGAUGUCGGAUUAGCUAGUUGGCGGGGUAAAGGCCCACCAAGGCGACGAUCCGUAGCUGGUCUGAGAGGAUGAUCAGCCACACUGGAACUGAGACACGGUCCAGACUCCUACGGGAGGCAGCAGUGGGGAAUAUUGGGCAAUGGGCGCAAGCCUGAUCCAGCCAUACCGCGUGGGUGAAGAAGGCCUUCGGGUUGUAAAGCCCUUUUGUUGGGAAAGAAAAGCAGCAGGUUAAUACCCCGCUGUUCUGACGGUACCCAAAGAAUAAGCACCGGCUAACUUCGUG